UACGUAGGUGGCAAGCGUUGUCCGGAUUUACUGGGCGUAAAGCGCGCGUAGGCGGCGCGGUAUGUCGUGCGUGAAAUCUCCCGGCUUAACUGGGAGGGGCCGUGCGAAACUGCCGGGCUUGAGGUCGGAAGGGGAAAGUGGAAUUCCGGGUGUAGUGGUGGAAUACGUAGAUAUCCGGAGGAACACCAGCGGCGAAGGCGGCUUUCUGGUCCGAUACUGACGCUGAGGUGCGAAAGCGUGGGGAGCGAUCCGG
rnacentral:rRNA from 1 species